AGGGAUAGUUUUAAGCUCAUAAUCUCGCAAUGAGUGCUUGUAAUAUGGGUUUAGGUAGGCAUGUGUGGCUAGGCAUGCCUCAUGAUCUAUUGCUUGUACCCUGAACAUUCUUGAUCAAUAAAGUGGCGAGAUUUCACAAAAAAAAAGUCUAGGGACGUCCGGUUCGGAGGCUUCAUCGUCAAAUUGCCCGCACUUAAAAAGCUUAUAUAUUACACCUGGGAAGCCCGACAUUAGCCCAACCUUCAAGGCCAAGGGGGGCUGGUGUCAGCUUUGCUCUAGCAUAUAGUCAUGGCCUCUAGGGGUCCGGCUCGGAAGCUUCAUCGUUAAAUGCCCCCCGCUUAAAAGGCUUAUAUAUUACACCUUGCGUGUUCAACCUUUCAAUGACC
rnacentral:lncRNA from 1 species